rnacentral:tRNA from 1 species
GGGAUUUAGGAAGGGAAUUUCUCGAACAGAAUAAUACUGGACAACACUCAAUAACACGUAUCAACACGACUGGCGUCUGUUUUACACACAGAAGGCCGUAGGUUCAAGUCCUACAUCGCCCA